UCAGAUCUCCUCUUCCUCAAUGGGUGAAGAAUACACAUAUAUAUAGAAAAAUUCGAAUUCAAAAAUUCGGAUUUGAAACCCCAAAAAUAAAGAAAAUGGUGGGAAAACGAACUUGAAUUUUAAAUUCGAAUCAAAGCCUUCUCUCCCCACAUCUUAGAUUUUCGAAACUCUUAAAUGAUGGAUUGAACCGUUUCUAAUUCAUUUUCACUCAUUCGGGACUGAUUUUUCCUGCUCGUAGAGGAUUUGCGAGCUGAAGGGGCUGAUUUGGGAUGGGAUCUUUGCAGAUCUGCGGCAGCUAUGGCUGCCAAGGGUAGCUACGGUUCUAUUUUUGGCAAAAUGGAGAAGGGGGAAGGGGAAA
rnacentral:lncRNA from 1 species